UGUGGUAGUCGUUGGGGAAGCUGUUGUUGUUGAUCCAGCUGUGGUAGUUGUUGGUCCAGCGGAGGUAGUUGUUGGUCCAGCUGUAGUGGUGGUUGGUCUGGCGUUGGUAGUUGUUGGGGCAGUUGUGGUUGUUGCUGUUCCAGCUCUGGUAGUUGUUGGGGCAGCUGUGGUAGUCGUUUGGGCAGAUGUGGUUGUUGUUGAUCCUGCUGUGGUAGUUGUUGGUCUAGCUGUGGUAGUUGUUGGGGCAGCUGUGGUUGUUGUUGGGGCAGCUGUGGUUGUUGUUGGGGCAGCGGUGGUAAUUGUUGGGGCAGCUGUGGUAGUUGUUGGUCCAGUGGUGGUUGUUGUGGGGCUUAAUGUUGCGGUAGUUGGGCCUGCUGUGGUAGUUGUUUGUCCAGCUGUGGUAGUUUUUGGGGCAGCUGUGGUCGUUGAGGCAGCUGUGGUUGUUGUUGAUCCAGCUGUGGUAGUUGUUGGAUCAGCUGUGGUAGUUGUUGGGGCAGUUGUGGUUGUUGCUGUUCCAGCUCUGGUAGUUGUUGGGGCAGCUGUGGUAGUCGUUGG
ensembl:lncRNA